rnacentral:rRNA from 1 species
AGUGAACGCUGGCGGUAGGCCUAACACAUGCAAGUCGAACGGCAGCACAGGAGAGCUUGCUCUCUGGGUGGCGAGUGGCGGACGGGUGAGGAAUACAUCGGAAUCUACUCUGUCGUGGGGGAUAACGUAGGGAAACUUACGCUAAUACCGCAUACGACCUACGGGUGAAAGCAGGGGAUCUUCGGACCUUGCGCGAUUGAAUGAGCCGAUGUCGGAUUAGCUAGUUGGCGGGGUAAAGGCCCACCAAGGCGACGAUCCGUAGCUGGUCUGAGAGGAUGAUCAGCCACACUGGAACUGAGACACGGUCCAGACUCCUACGGGAGGCAGCAGGGGGGAAAAUUGGACAAUGGGCGCAAGCCUGAUCCAGCCAUACCGCGUGGGUGAAGAAGGCCUUCGGGUUGUAAAGCCCUUUUGUUGGGAAAGAAAUCCAGCUGGCUAAUACCCGGUUGGGAUGACGGUACCCAAAGAAUAAGCACCGGCUAACUUCGUGCCAGCAGCCGCCGUAA